UUAUAGCCCCGACAGAAGGGAAAAACCUCGUGAGCUGGGGUUCAGCUCGCGAGGUUUAGGAAUGAUGGCGGGAACGAUG
rnacentral:misc_RNA from 1 species